rnacentral:rRNA from 1 species
CCUACGGGUGGCUGCAGUGAGGAAUAUUGGUCAAUGGUCGGGAGACUGAACCAGCCAAGCCGCGUGAGGGAUGAAGGUACAGAGUAUCGUAAACCUCUUUUGUCAGGGAACAAAGGCGGGGACGUGUCCCCGGAUGAGUGUACCUGAAGAAAAAGCAGCGGCAAACUCCGUGCCAGCAGCCGCGGAAAUACGGAGGAUGCGAGCGUUAUCCGGAUUUAUUGGGUUAAAGGGGUGCGCAGGGGGUCGGUUAAGUGAGCGGUCAAAGCCCGGGGCUCAACCCCGGCCCGCCGUUGAAACUGGCGGUCUCGAGUUGGAGAGAGGUAUGCGGAAUGCGCGGUGUAGCGGUGAAAUGCAUAGAUAUCGCGAAGAACUCCGAUUGCGAAGGCAGCAUGCCGGCUCCACACUGACGCUGAGGCACGAAAGCGUGGGUAUCGAACAGGAUUAGAUACCCCAGUAGUC